rnacentral:rRNA from 1 species
CCUACGGGGUGCUGCAGUGGGGAAUAUUGGGCAAUGGGCGCAAGCCUGACCCAGCAACGCCGCGUGAAGGAAGAAGGCUUUCGGGUUGUAAACUUCUUUUGUCAGGGACGAAGCAAGUGACGGUACCUGACGAAUAAGCCACGGCUAACUACGUGCCAGCAGCCGCGGUAAUACGUAGGUGGCAAGCGUUAUCCGGAUUUACUGGGUGUAAAGGGCGUGUAGACGGGAAGUCAAGUUGGUUGUGAAAUCCCUCGGCUUAACUGAGGAACUGCAACCAAAACUAACUUUCUUGAGUGCUGGAGAGGAAAGUGGAAUUCCUAGUGUAGCGGUGAAAUGCGUAGAUAUUAGGAGGAACACCAGUGGCGAAGGCGACUUUCUGGACAGUAACUGACGUUGAGGCACGAAAGUGUGGGGAGCAAACAGGAUUAGAUACCCCUGUAGUC